GACGAACGCUGGCGGCGUGCCUAAUACAUGUAAGUAGAACGCACAGUUUAUACCGUAGCUUGCUACACCAUAGACUGUGAGUUGCGAACGGGUGAGUAACGCGUAGGUAACCUGCCUGGUAGCGGGGGAUAACUAUUGGAAACGAUAGCUAAUACCGCAUAAUAUUAAUUAUUGCAUGAUAAUUAAUUGAAAGGUGCAAUUGCACCACUACCAGAUGGACCUGCGUUGUAUUAGCUAGUAGGUGAGGUAACGGCUCACCUAGGCGACGAUACAUAGCCGACCUGAGAGGGUGAUCGGCCACACUGGGACUGAGACACGGCCCAGACUCCUACGGGAGGCAGCAGUAGGGAAUCUUCGACAAUGGACGAAAGUCUGACCGAGCAACGCCGCGUGAGUGAAGAAGGUUUUCGGAUCGUAAAGCUCUGUUGUAAGAGAAGAACGGGUGUGAGAGUGGAAAGUUCACACUGUGACGGUGUCUUACCAGAAAGGGACGGCUAACUACGUG
rnacentral:rRNA from 1 species